rnacentral:tRNA from 2 species
UCGGGAGUCGCCAAGUGGUAAGGCACUGGUUUCUGGUACCAGCAUCCGUAGGUUCGAUCCCUACCUCCCGAG